rnacentral:rRNA from 1 species
GACGAACGCUGGCGGCGUGCUUAACACAUGCGAGUCGUACGGUAAGGCCCUUUCGGGGGUACACGAGUGGCGAACGGGUGAGUAACACGUGAGUAACCUGCCCACAACUUUGGGAUAACGCUAGGAAACUGGUGCUAAUACUGGAUAUGUGCUCCUGCUGCAUGGUGGGGGUUGGAAAGCUCCGGCGGUUGUGGAUGGACUCGCGGCCUAUCAGCUUGUUGGUGGGGUAGUGGCCUACCAAGGCGGCGACGGGUAGCCGGCCUGAGAGGGUGACCGGCCACAUUGGGACUGAGAUAAGGCACAGACUCCUACGGGAGGCAGCAGUGGGGAAUAUUGCACAAUGGGCGCAAGCCUGAUGCAGCAACGCCGCGUGCGGGAUGACGGCCUUCGGGUUGUAAACCGCUUUCAGCAGGGACGAAGCUUUUUGUGACGGUACCUGCAGAAGAAGCACCGGCUAACUACGUG